rnacentral:rRNA from 1 species
CAACUCUCAACAACGGAUAUCUUGGCUCUCGCAACGAUGAAGAACGCAGCGAAAUGCGAUACGUAGUGUGAAUUGCAGAAUUCCGUGAACCAUCGAAUCUUUGAACGCAUAUUGCGCUCGAGGCUUCGGCCAAGAGCAUGUCUGCCUCAGCGUCGUUUUGACACCUCACUCCCAUACCUUUUUGGUAUCAUGCAUCAGGCUAUUGCUUGAUGUUGGGGGUGGAUCUGGCUUCCCCAGAGCUUGCUCUGGGUUGGCUGAAGUGCAGAGGCUAGAGCACGGACCCAUAUGGGUGUCAACUGGAUAGGUAGACUCCACGUUAGUGGACUACACGAAGUUGUCGCCUGGGAUACGUGUUGGCAGCCAAACAGGAAACUUCUCUCACUUCGACCUGAGCUCAGGCAAGAUUACCCGCUGAACUUAAGCAUAUCAAUAAGCGGUGGAA